CACGUUCGAUUGCGCGCUCUUCCCGCCUCCCAGAGCUGCGGGUGUGCUGGCAACAAGUUGGAUUGUGUGUCAAACAAUUCAGCAUAGCAAGUUUGUAGGAAGGUCUGGUUAUUAAAUGGGUAACUAGCAAACAGCCAUGGUCGAGGGUGAAAGGAUAGCAGCUCCAGCUGUCAAAGAAGGGAGAGAACAGGCUAUUCUGGAUAGGGCAGGUUCUGUUGUGGUUCCGGUCCCUAGAGAGAAAGAGCUGUGAAAGCCUGUCCGCAGAUGAAGAGGUCCCAAU